CAGAAAAUGACUCUCAGGGGGUUAUCAAUGGAGGAGCUCCUUAUAAAGUUGAUGGAAGAAGGCAUUGAUGUGUCAGACGACGAGGCGCAAAGGUUUAGAGUUGUGUGAUGAGGUUGAUUUAAUGCAUCCCUGCCAAGACAACAUCUGUCGCCGCUUUAGCAAAAACUUCACUGCUGUUCUUCAAAUGACCAAGGAUUUGCCACUGAAGAAGGUCUACAUGGAGGGAGAAUGCACUGGCUGAAGACAUUACAGGAAUUGACUUCAAGGGGGCACUUCUCUUGCCAUCCAUCUUCAAGGAGAAGAUAGAAGAUUUCAUCAUCCUUGGAGAGAAUACUCCCACGAGUCCAUACCCAACCAUUCGAAUGAAGGAUAAGAGUUGGAC